rnacentral:rRNA from 1 species
GCGAAGCGGGUGCGGGUGUGCGGGGAAAUAGGGGGGGGGCGAGCGUUAAUCGGAUUUACUGGGAGGAAAGCGUGCGUAGGCGGCUGAUUAAGUCGGAUGUGAAAUACCUGAGCUUAACUUAGGAAUUGCAUUCGAUACUGGUCAGCUAGAGUAUGGGAGAGGAUGGUAGAAUUCCAGGUGUAGCGGUGAAAUGCGUAGAGAUCUGGAGGAAUACCGAUGGCGAAGGCAGCCAUCUGGCCUAAUACUGACGCCGAGGUACGAAAGCAUGGGGAGCAAACAGGAUUAGAUACCCUUGUAGUC